GUGGUUUGUCGCGUCGUCUGUGAAAUUCCGGGGCUUAACUCCGGGCGUGCAGGCGAUACGGGCAUAACUUGAGUGCUGUAGGGGAGACUGGAAUUCCUGGUGUAGCGGUGAAAUGCGCAGAUAUCAGGAGGAACACCAAUGGCGAAGGCAGGUCUCUGGGCAGUAACUGACGCUGAGGAGCGAAAGCAUGGGUAGCGAACAGGAUUAGAUACCCUGGUAGUCCAUGCCGUAAACGGUGGGCGCUAGGUGUGGGGGUCUUCCACGACUUCUGUGCCGUAGCUAACGCAUUAAGCGCCCCGCCUGGGGAGUACGGCCGCAAGGCUAAAACUCAAAGGAAUUGACGGGGGCCCGCACAAGCGGCGGAGCAUGUGGAUUAAUUCGAUGCAACGCGAAGAACCUUACCUGGGCUUGACAUAUGCCGGAUCGGCGCAGAGAUGCGUUUUCCCUUGUGGUCGGUAUACAGGUGGUGCAUGGUUGUCGUCAGCUCGUGUCGUGAGAUGUUGGGUUAAGUCCCGCAACGAGCGCAACCCUUGUCUUGUGUUGCCAGCACGUUAUGGUGGGGACUCGCGAGAGACUGCCGGGGUUAACUCGGAGGAAGGUGGGGAUGACGUCAAAUCAUCAUGCCCCUUAUGUCCAGGGCUUCACACAUGCUACAAUGGUCGGUACAGUGGGUUGCUACACCGUGAGGUGGUGCUAAUCCCUUAAAACCGGUCUCAGUUCGGAUUGGAGUCUGCAACUCGACUCCAUGAAGUCGGAGUCGCUAGUAA
rnacentral:rRNA from 1 species